rnacentral:rRNA from 1 species
GACGAACGCUGGCGGCGUGCUUAACACAUGCAAGUCGAACGGAAAGGCCCUGCUUUUGUGGGGUGCUCGAGUGGCGAACGGGUGAGUAACACGUGAGUAACCUGCCCUUGACUUUGGGAUAACUUCAGGAAACUGGGGCUAAUACCGGAUAGGAGCUCCUGCUGCAUGGUGGGGGUUGGAAAGUUUCGGCGGUUGGGGAUGGACUCGCGGCUUAUCAGCUUGUUGGUGGGGUAGUGGCUUACCAAGGCUUUGACGGGUAGCCGGCCUGAGAGGGUGACCGGCCACAUUGGGACUGAGAUACGGCCCAGACUCCUACGGGAGGCAGCAGUGGGGAAUAUUGCACAAUGGGCGAAAGCCUGAUGCAGCAACGCCGGGUGCGGGAUGACGGCCUUCGGGUGGUAAACCGCUUUCGCCUGUGACGAAGCGUGAGUGACGGUAAUGGGUAAAGAAGCACCGGCAAACUACGU